GACGAACGCUGGCGGCGUGCUUAACACAUGCAAGUCGAACGGAAAGGCCCUGCUUUUGUGGGGUGCUCGAGUGGCGAACGGGUGAGUAACACGUGAGUAACCUGCCCUUGACUUUGGGAUAACUUCAGGAAACUGGGGCUAAUACCGGAUAGGAGCUCCUGCUGCAUGGUGGGGGUUGGAAAGUUUCGGCGGUUGGGGAUGGACUCGCGGCUUAUCAGCUUGUUGGUGGGGUAGUGGCUUACCAAGGCUUUGACGGGUAGCCGGCCUGAGAGGGUGACCGGCCACAUUGGGACUGAGAUACGGCCCAGACUACUACGGGAGGCAGCAGUGGGGAAUAUUGCACAAUGGGCGGAAGCCUGAUGCAGCAACGCCGCGUGCGGGAUAACGGCCUUAGGGUUGUAAACCGCUUUCGCCUGUGACGAAGCGUGAGUGACGGUAAUGGGUAAAGAAGCACCGGCUAACUACGUG
rnacentral:rRNA from 1 species